UGGCCAGACUCCUACGGGAGGCAGCAGUGGGGAAUAUUGCACAAUGGGGGAAACCCUGAUGCAGCGACGCCGCGUGAGUGAAGAAGUAUUUCGGUAUGUAAAGCUCUAUCAGCAGGGAAGAAAAACCGACCAUAGGGUCGCUAGACGGUACCUGAUUAAGAAGCCCCGGCUAACUACGUGCCAGCAGCCGCGGUAAUACGUAGGGGGCAAGCGUUAUCCGGAUUUACUGGGUGUAAAGGGAGCGUAGACGGCAGCGCAAGUCUGAAGUGAAAUGCCGGGGCUUAACCCCGGAACUGCUUUGGAAACUGAGCAGCUAGAGUGCAGGGGAGGUAAGUGGAAUUCCUAGUGUAGCGGUGAAAUGCGUAGAUAUCAGGAGGAACACCGGUGGCGAAGGCGGCCUGCUGGACUGCGACUGACGUUGAGGCCCGAAAGCGUGGGGAGCAAACAGGAUUAGAUACCCGAGUAC
rnacentral:rRNA from 1 species